GCGCUGGAGUUGGCAACACGUGCACUAAAAUUGGAACAAUACAAAGAGGAUCGGCAUUUUCCCUCGGCGCAAAGAUGACAAGCAAAUUCAUGAAAGUAAAAAAAGGUGU